rnacentral:rRNA from 1 species
UACGAAGGGGGCUAGCGUUGUUCGGAAUUACUGGGCGUAAAGCGCGCGCAGGCGGUCUUCCAAGUCAGUGGUGAAAGCCCGGAGCUCAACUCCGGAACUGCCAUUGAAACUGUUGGACUUGAGUACGAGAGAGGUGAGUGGAAUUCCCAGUGUAGAGGUGAAAUUCGUAGAUAUUGGGAAGAACACCGGUGGCGAAGGCGACUCACUGGCUCGUAACUGACGCUCAGGCGCGACAGCGUGGGGAUCAAACAGG